UACGUAGGGAGCAAGCGUUGUCCGGAAUCAUUGGGCGUAAAGCGCGCGUAGGUGGCCUCGUAAGUCCGCUGUGAAAGUCAAAGGCUCAACCUUUGAAAGCCGGUGGAUACUGUGGGGCUAGAGUACGGAAGAGGCGAGUGGAAUUCCUGGUGUAGCGGUGGAAUGCGCAGAUAUCAGGAGGAACACCAAUAGCGAAGGCAGCUCGCUGGGACGUUACUGACACUGAGGCGCGAAAGCGUGGGGAGCGAACAGG
rnacentral:rRNA from 1 species